UACGUAGGCAGCGAGCGUUGUUCGGAGUUACUGGGCGUAAAGGGUGUGUAGGCGGUGUGUCGCGUCGGCCGUGAAAACCUGCAGCUUAACUGUGGGCGUGCGGUCGAUACGGGCAUCACUGGAGUUCGGCAGGGGAGACUGGAAUUCCUGGUGUAGCGGUGAAAUGCGCAGAUAUCAGGAGGAACACCGGUGGCGAAGGCGGGUCUCUGGGCCGAUACUGACGCUGAGGAGCGAAAGCGUGGGGAGCGAACAGG
rnacentral:rRNA from 1 species